UCACCAAGGCCAUAAAUUUCAAACCUGACUUGCAAAUGCUUCAUCUCCGAGCAGCAUUUUAUGAGGCAGUAGGAGACCUAUCUUCAGCUCUUCAAGAUUGUCAAGCAGCUUUAUGCUUAGACCCCAACCAUACGGACACGCUAGACCUGUAUCAGAGGGCGCGAAAAUUAAGCUUUUAAUCAUAAACGACAAGCACAUCAAAUGUCUACAAUGUGAAGAUCUUGGUUAGAAAAUUGCUGGGGCGUCCCAACUUUGUUAGACACAAGGAGAGGGGACAUACACGAUCAAACUGUUGAAAUAAUGCCAAAACUCCCAAGAAGCAAAGCCUGGAUGAUUCAAGGAAAAGAUGGAGUAAUGUGGAGGAGGAUGACUCAGGUGUACAUCGGAAGAUGUUUAGAGCAGUAACACCGUUAUCCAAUAUACAUUCUU
rnacentral:lncRNA from 1 species